GAUGAACGCUGGCGGCGUGCCUAAUACAUGCAAGUCGAGCGAACAGACGAGGAGCUAGCUCCUUUGACGUUAGCGGCGGACGGGUGAGUAACACGUGGAUAACCUACCUAUAAGACUGGGAUAACUUCGGGAAACCGGAGCUAAUACCGGAUAACAUGUUGAACCGCAUGGUUCAACAGUGAAAGACGGUCUUGCUGUCACUUAUAGAUGGAUCCGCGCCGCAUUAGCUAGUUGGUAAGGUAACGGCUUACCAAGGCAACGAUGCGUAGCCGACCUGAGAGGGUGAUCGGCCACACUGGAACUGAGACACGGUCCAGACUCCUACGGGAGGCAGCAGUAGGGAAUCUUCCGCAAUGGGCGAAAGCCUGACGGAGCAACGCCGCGUGAGUGAAGAAGGUGUUCGGAUCGUAAAACUCUGUUAUUAGGGAAGAACAAAUGUGUAAGUAACUAUGCACGUCUUGACGGUACCUAAUCAGAAAGCCACGGCUAACUACGUG
rnacentral:rRNA from 1 species